GGGAUAAUUGAAAACAAAGAAAGUCUUAAAGGAGAGGGAACCGAAAUUUUCAUUCCCUCUGUUAUCUCCCUCAAAUAUUUUCCCCUUUUUAUUUCAGUCAAAAACAAAAACUAUCAUACUUCUAUCUCUCGCAGCCCCAUGUCUAUCAUCGCCGCCGUAGAUACUCUCAUCGCCGCCCUUGCUGCUCUUCAUCUUUAUCUAAGGUUAAGUUAAUGUCCGAGCCUCAAAAGCUACCAAUAGGAGGAAAAAGAGUUCACAUAUCCCUUGCUUAGCUACAACUUCGAACCCAAAUCUACAGUGAGGGGUGCUAUUACGAAAAUCUUCAAAGAAAAUUUUCAAGGUGCAUGGUCAUGUUGGAGUGCUGUUGAUUCGACCACACAAGAUUUUUGAUUUGAAGACUUUAAGGUCAUUUUAUUAAGUAAUUGAGGUGUGCUGGUUGUGUUUCAUUAUGGGAUCCAAUUGAUAAUCUUGUUUAUUUUUUCAUUGAUAAUCUUGUUUAUUUUUUCAUUGAGGUUAUGCUUGUCAUAUUACAGAUUGUGUUUAUAUGCUAUUAAAUUUAUCGUUGUUUCUAUUGGAGUGUAGAUUUGUAUAUAUGCUAUUAAAAUUGUAUACAGGCUAUGCUUAUCAUAUGACAGAUUGUGUUUGCAACUUUUACACUACUAUUUGUAUUGUUUGUUUGUAGGCCAAAUACAAAUGGCUUGAAAAGGAUGAAGCUAGCAUUAAAAAAGCUUUAAUAGUAGGGGAACAUUGGCCCUGGAAAAUGCUUUGUUCAAGGUUCGUAGCGGUAAAGAUAAAGGUGAAUGGAUUGAUGAAGAUAAUUUAAAAGAAUUAAGGGAUCAAUGGAACGGUGAAACUUGGCAAAAUAUUUCUAAGAUUAAUACACAAAACAGAAAGUCUCGAGCUGGACAUAAUGUGCACAGUGGAGGAUCCAUUUCUGCCAGAGAACAUGCCAAAAAAAUGAGGAUGAAAUUGAAUAGAGAGCCAACAUGUUUUGAGGUUUAUCAGAGAAUGCAUAAACCAAAGGAAAAAUCAAAUGAGUGGUUUAACAAAGAACAAGCUCUUAUAGCUGAAAGUUACCAAAUUAAAUUGUUUGAGAGAAAUUCUCAAAUAGGUGAGGGUAGUAACCAACAAUCUGAUGAUAGUAUAUACAUGGAAGUUGUUGGAGGCAUUAACAAGAAGGGACACAUAUUUGGAUUGGGGAUCUCAAGCUGCCACUAUCAAAGAAUCUUUGAAAUUUUCUCCUUCAAUUUCUACUCAUGUGGUACAGUCAGAUAAAGUUGCUGCUACGGAGGCUAAGAUUGAAGCAUUAAUCGUUGAACUUGAGCAAAAUAAUCUUGAACAAGAAAUGUUAAAACAAAAGAUGGAGCAUUGUGAGCAGAUUUUUGGAAGGUUUGUGCCUAGUAUUAAUCAAAACUCUCCUGUUCAACUUGAAAGAGAAGGUGAUAAGGAAAAUUAUGAGAUCGAUGCUAAUGAAAAUGAUGUGAUGGAUGAUGAAGAUUAGCUUUAGUUACUUUCUUUUAUGUAUUUUUGUUAAAUCAAUUAUAUGAAUUUUUGUGUCUUUGACAAUUUUAGGUUUGAUAUUAUAUUUAGUGCAGUAGUGGUGCACUUGAUACUUUGUAAGAAUGACAUACAUUUGGUGUCAAUCGAAAUUUGAUUUUCUCA